rnacentral:rRNA from 1 species
AUUGAACGCUAGCGGGAUGCCUUACACAUGCAAGUCGAACGGAGCGGCGAACGGGUGAGUGAUGUAUCGGAACGUGCCCAGUAGCGGGGGAUAACUACGAGAAAGCGUAGCUAAUACCUCAUACUAUUGAACCGGCCGAUACCGGAUUAGCGAGAUGGUGGGGUAACGGCUAACCAAGGCGACGAUCCUUAGCUGGUUUGAGAGGACGAUCAGCCACACUGGGACUGAGACACGGCCCAGACUCCUACGGGAGGCAGCAGUGGGGAAUUUUGGACAAUGGGGGCAACCCUGAUGCAGCCAUGCCGCGUGUGCGAAGAAGGCCUUCGGGUUGUAAAGCACUUUUAGCAGGAAGGCGGUACCUGCAGAAGAAGCACCGGCUAACUACGUGCCAGCAGCCGCGGUAAUUC